rnacentral:rRNA from 1 species
AUUGAACGCUGGCGGCAGGCCUAACACAUGCAAGUCGAACGAGUGGCGGACGGGCGAGUAAUUUCUUGGAAACUGCCUGAUCUAGGGGGAUAACUACUGGAAACGUUAGCUAAUACCGCUUACCACCCUUUCGGCCCAGAGGGGUUUAGCUUGUUGGGGGGGUAACGGCUCAACAAGGCGACGAUCCCUAGCUGGUCUGAGAGGAUGACCAGCCACACUGGGACUGAGACACGGUCCAGACUCCUACGGGAGGCAGCAGUGGGGAAUAUUGCGCAAUGGGCGCAAGCCUGAUGCAGCCAUGCCGCGUGUGUGAAGAAGGCCUUCGGGUUGUAAAGUACUUUCAGCGGGGAGGCGUUACCCGCAGAGAAAGCACCGGCUAACUACGUGCCAGCAGCCGCGGUAAUAC